AGGAUGAACGCUAGCGGCAGGCCUAAUACAUGCAAGUCGAACGGUAAGUAGAGUAGCAAUACUUUGCCUAGAGUGACGUACGGGUGCGUAACACGUAUGCAACCUACCCUUUACAGGCGGAUAGCUCGGGGAAACCCGAAUUAACCCGCCGUAGUAUAAUUGAGUGGCAUCAUUUGAUUAUUAAAACUCCGGUGGUAAAGGAUGGGCAUGCGUCUGAUUAGUUAGUUGGUAGUGUAACGGACUACCAAGACGAUGAUCAGUAGGGGAACUGAGAGGUUGAUCCCCCACACUGGCACUGAGAUACGGGCCAGACUCCUACGGGAGCAGCAGGUAGGGAAUAUUGGUCAAUGGAAUGCAAGUCUGAACCAGCCAUGCCGCGUGCAAGGAAGAAGGCCUUCUGGGUUGUAAACUGCUUUUGCGAGGGAAUAAAUUUCCUUGCGAAGGAAAUUGAAGGUACCUGGACGAAUAAGCCAACGGCUAACUACGUGCCAGCAGCCGC
rnacentral:rRNA from 1 species